UACGGAGGAUGCAAGCGUUAUCCGGAAUGAUUGGGCGUAAAGCGUCCGCAGGUGGCUGUGUAAGUCUGCUGUUAAAUAGUGAGGCUCAGCCUCAUAAAGGCAGUGGAAACUACACGGCUAGAGUGCGUUCGGGGCAGAGGGAAUUCCUGGUGUAGCGGUGAAAUGCGUAGAGAUCAGGAAGAACACCGGUGGCGAAAGCGCUCUGCUAGGCCGCAACUGACACUGAGGGACGAAAGCUAGGGGAGCGAAUGGG
rnacentral:rRNA from 1 species